rnacentral:lncRNA from 1 species
CUUAUACCUUCUUAGUUGUCCCCAUUUUCUCAAAAAUAAAAAAAUAAAUGAAAAAAAAGAAGUACCAUAACAACUUACUCCGUUGAUCACUCAUUUUUUACAUCAUCAAGUGGCGUAGCUUAGCAGUUCAACACUAUGUUAGAUUAACUAAAAGUCUCAAAUUUAAGCCCUAGAAAUGCAACUGCCUUUUGUAGGGAGGGCUUACUCCUUAGUGGACCCAUUUGGCUCAAAAAAU